AUCCCGGAUUAACUCGCUUAGCUGUUCUUCUGAUUCAUGGGAGGCCGAGAUUGAUGCUGGCAGUUUCGCUGAUAGCGCCUUCCUUCUUCCUGGAGGUGCUUCAUUAGUAACUAGCCACACAAAC
rnacentral:snoRNA from 1 species